rnacentral:rRNA from 1 species
UACGGAGGGAGCUAGCGUUGUUCGGAAUUACUGGGCGUAAAGGGCGCGUAGGCGGCUAGGCAAGUCAGGUGUGAAAGCCCCGAGCUUAACUCGGGAAUUGCAUCUGAAACUGCUGUGCUUGAGUUCUGGAGGGGGUAGUGGAAUUCCCAGUGUAGCGGUGAAAUGCGUAGAUAUUGGGAGGAACACCGGUGGCGAAGGCGGCAUCCUGGACCAACACUGACGCUGAGGAGCGAAAGCCAGGGGAGCAAACGGG